GUGCCAGCAGCCGCGGUAAUACGGGGGAUGCAAGCGUUAUCCGGAUUUAUUGGGUUUAAAGGGUGCGUAGGCGGAUAUAUAAGUCAGUGGUGAAAGACUGUUGCUUAACGAUAGCAUUGCCAUUGAUACUGUAUGUCUUGAGUGUAGAUGAGGUAGGCGGAAUGUGUAGUGUAGCGGUGAAAUGCUUAGAUAUUACACAGAACACCGAUUGCGAAGGCAGCUUACUAAUCUACCACUGACGCUGAGGCACGAAAGCGUGGGGAUCAAACAGGAUUAGAAACCCUGGUAGUCC
rnacentral:rRNA from 1 species